GUAUGAUGGUGGGAGUUGAAGCAGCCAUCUCUAACCAUGAGACAGAAACUGCGUGGUGAGGAUAACAAAGCAAUAAGCUAGAAGGAGCCUGGGUCCCUAAUGCUAGGAGGUGCCAUCCCAGCCCUGAACUGCAUGCCUGGACUUGUCUGUGAGAGAAAAUUAAAUACCUUUCUUGUGUUUAAGAAACUAUUAUUUCCAUCCUCUGUUAUAGUAGCCAACUUUAUCCCAACUAAUGUAGCUGCCCAAGACAGUGCUGAUGGAUGUGGCAGGCUGAAUAAUGAACCACCAACGAUGUCCAUGUCCUAAUCUCCAGCACCUGUGAAUAUGUUACUUUACGUGGUAAAAGGGAUGUUGUAGACGUGAUUAAUUUAAGCAUCUUGAGAUGGCAAGUUUAUCUCGGGUUAUCCCAGUGGACUUAAUGUUUGUUUGUUUGUUUGUUUGUUUGAGGAAGAUUAGCCCUGAGCUAACAUCUGCCAAUCCUCCUCUUUUUGCUGAGGAAGGCUGGCCCUGAGCUAACAUCCGUGCCCAUCUUCCUCUACUUUAUAUGUGGGACGCCUGCCACAGCAUGGCUUGCCAAGCGGUGCCAUGUCCACACCCGAGAUCCGAACCAGCGAACCCCGGGCCACCAAAGCGGAACGUGCGCACUUAACCACUGCGCCACCGGACUGGCCCCCACUGGACUCAAUGUAAUCACAAGAGUCCUUACAACAGGGAGGCAUGGGUCAGAUAUAUAGCAAGAAAGCAGCGUGACAAGAGAAGCAGAGGGAAGCAGAGUCAGAGAGAAAAGAUGGUACGUCACCAGCUUUGAAGAUGGAGGAAGCGACCACAAGCCAAGGAAUGCAAGCAGCCUCUAGAAGCCAGAAAAGGCAAAGAAAGAGAUCCUCCAGAGAGCCUCAAGAAGGAACACAGGAUGUUUGCAUAAUCUCAAAGCAUCUCUCUACAAGAUCCUCAUUAAUUACAAAGGAGAAAGUAUUAGUUCCAUAGUUUACAGUGGAGACACCACCUUUAUCAAGUGACAUCACCAGGAAUGACACCUUGACUUCAUGCUCAUCCCAAUACCUUGCACUCAGAAGGACACCACAUCACUGCUAUAGGAUUCGUGCAAAAAUGCAUGCUCUGAAUUUGAUCAUGGGGAAACAUCCGAUAAAGCUAAAUUUGAGACAGUCCACUAAAUAACCAGCCUGUACUCUUCAAAAGUGCCACAGCCAUGAAAGACAGAGGAAGCCCAAGGACCUGUCACCGAUGAGAAGAGCCGAAAGCAGCAUCACAACUAAAGAAACUGGACCAGAUCCUGGGCCAGGAAAAGAACCCUCUCCAGGUGGUGGCAUUAGCUAUAUUUACUGGUGAGGACACUGGGGUCAAGGAGGAGCAUCAUUUAGGAGAUACCUCCCAAACGCGAGCACCCAGAGGGCCGUCAAUAAAGAGAAGCCGGACCAGCGAAUCGGGGACCCUCCGACACUGAUUCGAUGGAGUCGAUCAGAAACCGUCAAGCGACCUGGGCCCCAGAGAUACGGAGUUCCCCAGAUCUGGCUCCUCAGCACUUUCUUCUAUUAUGUGAAGAAAAACAGAACUGGAAAGAGUAACCUUAUGGAGUAUGUUCUAAGUAACACGGAACGUUCUGGAUCCAACAUCUCGGCACACUGCUCUCCUAUGGAAGCUGCUCUGGUCCUUGUCCUGGCUUUUUCAUCACAACCCACCAUGUUCAUGGAACCCAUCAUCCUGUCAACUCCCCCAGAUGAAAACAAAGAGACAAACAAACAGAAACAAGACAUAUGAUUAAACCGUC
ensembl:lncRNA